rnacentral:rRNA from 1 species
GUGUAAUACGGGCCGGCGGGCGCGGUAAGACGGAGGUAGCGAGCGUGGUCCCGAUUUACAGGGCGUAAAGAGCGCGCAGGCGGGCGUUCAAGUGGCGUGUGAAAGCCCCCGGCGGAACGGGGUAGGGUCUCGCGAUACUGAUCGGCUCGAAGGCAGGAGAGGGUAGUGGAAUUCCCGGUGUAGUGGUGAAAUGCGUAGAUAUCGGGAGGAACACCAGUGGCGAAGGCGACUACCUGGCCUGUUCUUGACGCUGAGGCGCGAAAGCUAGGGGAGCAAACGGGAUUAGAUACCCGGGUAGUC